AAGUUAGCGGCGGACGGGUGAGUAACACGUGGGUAACCUGCCCAUAAGACUGGGAUAACUCCGGGAAACCGGGGCUAAUACCGGAUAAUAUUUUGAACUGCAUGGUUCGAAAUUGAAAGGCGGCUUCGGCUGUCACUUAUGGAUGGACCCGCGUCGCAUUAGCUAGUUGGUGAGGUAACGGCUCACCAAGGCAACGAUGCGUAGCCGACCUGAGAGGGUGAUCGGCCACACUGGGACUGAGACAAGGACCAGACUCCUACGGGAGGCAGCAGUAGGGAAUCUUCCGCAAUGGACGAAA
rnacentral:rRNA from 1 species